CCUUCGAAAGAUAUUCUUGUAGAGUAAUUCUGUGAACGGAGAACUUGACAAAAUCAAACAUUCGAGGUGUGAAAGAAUCCUCGCCAUUCAAUUAUUUUCGUUUCCAACCCUCAACCUAAAUUAACAAAGACUUUUGAUAAUCUCUUGAUAAAUUUCCGACCAAAACUUCAAAAUUCUCAGUGCCAAAUGAACUCUAAUUAAUUCUUCAAAAAUGAUAAACCGAAACGAUAAAUGCUGGUUUCAAUGUCACGCAAGUACUCCUCCAACUACUUCGACCUGUCAGAACGAUCAGCUCCAGCCCAGUCAGAAUAAUUUCUUCCAAAGCCAACCGCAGGCCCCACAGCCGUGCAAUCAAUCCCUUCAGCCCCCGGGCUUCAGCAUGCUGACCGGAGCCCAAUCAAGUUGUCUUCAGCCUGCCCCCCAAUGCCAACCAGACGGCUUUUCCAACCCCACACGAUCUAACCUCCUGCCGCCAACAGCAUAUCAACAGCCCAACCAGGGUCAGCCCUCCCCAGUUUAUCCUCAGCUCUCACUGGCUCUCCUGGAACAAAUCCGAGCCUUCCUGACCCCAUCAUCGGCUCCAAUCUUCAUCCUUUCAUCGCCUCCACAGCCCCCAGCUCUCCCCGCACCCGAGUGUCCAGGUGUGAGACUCCCCUGCGGACAGUCUCAGCAUUACCAACCGUCCUGCUACCCCUACCCCAUGCCGAUGCCCAUCCUGAGUCCCUUGGUUCUCCCACCUACCCUCCAGAGGGCCCCUGAUCGUGCCAGCUGCUCCUGCUGCUCCAACAUGUCCAACACCAGCUCCAAAAACCCUAAUCAACAAGUUGAAUCUUCCCAGCAUUUUUGCUGUGAUGCAGAAGACGAGGCGAUGUGUUCGAAGCGUAAUUGCCUAUCAGCACUAAAUCUCCAGGCUUUAGCAGCCCAACUUCUGUCCGUACCAGGGGUGAUCUCCUGUGCAGCUACGAGACUGAUCCUGAGGAAAAUUCCAGGGUCAAACGUUGCUAAUUCCAUCGAGGAGAUUAUGGAAAGAAGUCAGAAUGCUUUGAACAAUUCAACUCAAGAGCAAUUGAUAACUGAAUCUCGAAAUGCUCAACAAGUUGGUGCUCUGAUAAAUCUCCAUAUGACAGCCAAUCCUCCAGCGAAUAUUGUUCCAAUUUUAACGACAAUCCAGUUGAAAGUCAAUGCUCUGAAGGGUCAUGCUGACAGUCUGAUAACUCGGGGUCUCAGUGAGCCGGGUAGAGGGACUGAUGGAAGUGAACAAUUCGAUAUAAUGAUCCUGGGUAUGAAGACUGACGAGGAACUGCGUCAGCUCUUGGUAACUCUCAGACAGAAGGAAUGCGAUGAGAAGGUGAAUUUGAGUUUUGCUCCUUAUCGCUCCCAGCGGAUAAUUGCUGAAACUCGGUUGAGGAAUGUUGAGAGUAAAAUACGACAAGUUGAGGGGGUAAUGGAGAAACGUCGGUUUACAGUGAUACCACGUGACAGUAGACAUGUAGAUUUUGAUGGUAGGGGUGGAUGGCACGCGUAUCCUGGUAGUCUGUUGGCUCCUGGUCCCUUUGGACGUGAAACCACAAUGCAACCACAGACGUACGACUCCCCGGAUCCCUUUCACAUCGAAGUUCGUAGCCCGAGGAGACUGAAUCUCAAACCGCACGUUGGUAGCCCAGAAACCACGUACGAACGUGAAUUGGAACAGUCUAAGGAGAUAACUUUUGGGGUGAAAAGUGAGAAUAACGAGCAGAUAAAUGAUCAAAAAUCUCAUAUCAAUCAAGAGAUCGCUGAUGUUAAAGUAAAGAAGGAGGUUGAGAAUUCCCAAGCUUAUGGGGAAGCCUCUGACGACUCAUUUCCCAUGACCUCAUCAGUGGUCCCAGUGCAAACACCUGAAAAAGACACAGUGGAUGAAGAAAAUGAAGAAUCUCUUUGUUCCGCUUCCAGCAAGAAUGCCAGUGCAGGAAAUCCGUAUGCCAGUGAAAAGGAUGGAGGAGCCGAGAAUCGUAUUACGGAGGGAAAAAAGUGAGUCUAACAUCAUGUUGAUCCAGACGGAAUAUUUUCCGUGAAGAUGGAUAUGAAAAGACCAUUGAUGGAGAACUCCUGAGAUCCUCUAUAAAACGAGGGGAAAAAAAUCUGAGAGCACAGAUAUUAAAACGAGUGGAAAAAAUGAAAUGGAGGAUUUCAAUGAUAUCAAAGAAUUACUUGGAAAAUCCCUUUUCUGCGAAUCCUGAAAUAAAAAAAUUAUUCUCGAAUAAUGUAGAUUUAGUCAAUGGGAAGCACUCGAAUGGAAUCGUGGAGAGUUGAGGCUCAUCCUAAUGUCAAGUAACACCUGAGGCCAAAUAUUUAUUUUAUUUCCAUUGCCGUUUCAACGAGCCCGAGCGAGCCGAUCGAUCUCGCUCAUCCAGUCUCAAUAAAUACUGCGAUGCAAACAGUAAAGUGGAAUCAAAUUACAAACCCCUCUCCUCAAUUAAUUAUAUGGAAGAACGCUAACCUCAGUGAAUAGUUGAGAGAAAUAAAUGUCAGGAGUUAUAUUUCACUAAGGGCUGGAGGAUAAUGAGAAACGAGCCAAGUUUAUUUGCCAGGUGUAUCGGUGGAUUUUCCAUCAACGGUAGAAUCACCGGAUCUUUUCAACUCCAUAAGGGGGGGGGGGGGGGGAAUCGAUGCAAUCUAUUGAUUCCCUUUACCGUGCACUAUCGAGUUGGUUUGAUUGAGAGAAUUCAGUCUUUGAAGAUCGGAAAUUCCGAGGUAAACCAUUAAAAUUAAAAUCAAUGAGCCGAUGAAGAUGAAAGAAAUAUUAUUGAGAGAACAAAUUUAAUCGAGCGAGCUGAUGAAAUACAGAGGCUUUGACGUAUUAAAAAAUACUCGGGU